rnacentral:rRNA from 1 species
GAUUCAUGAUAACUUUACGGAUCGCAUGGCCUUGCGCCGGCGACGGUUCAUUCAAAUUUCUGCCCUAUCAACUUUCGAUGGUAAGGUAUUGGCUUACCAUGGUUUCAACGGGUAACGGGGAAUUAGGGUUCGAUUCCGGAGAGGGAGCCUGAGAAACGGCUACCACAUCCAAGGAAGGCAGCAGGCGCGCAAAUUACCCAAUCCCGAUACGGGGAGGUAGUGACAAUAAAUACUGAUACAGGGCUCUUUUGGGUCUUGUAAUUGGAAUGAGUACAAUUUAAACCUCUUAACGAGGAACAAUUGGAGGGCAAGUCUGGUGCCAGCACCCGCGGUAAUUCCAGCUCCAAUAGCGUAUAUUAAAGUUGUUGCAGUUAAAAAGCUCGUAGUUGAAACUUGGGUCUGGCUGGCAGGUCCGCCUCACCGCGUGUACUUGUCCGGCCGGACCUUCCUUCUGGAGAACCUCAUGCCCUUCACUGGGCGUGUUGGGGACCAGGACUUUUACUUUGAAAAAAUUAGAGUGUUCAAAGCAGGCCUUUGCUCGAAUACGUUAGCAUGGAAUAAUAGAAUAGGACGUGCGGUUCUAUUUUGUUGGUUUCUAGGACCGCCGUAAUGAUUAAUAGGGACAGUCGGGGGCAUCAGUAUUCAAUUGUCAGAGGUGAAAUUCUUGGAUUUAUUGAAGACUAACUACUGCGAAAGCAUUU